rnacentral:tRNA from 1 species
GGGGUCAUAGCUCAGUUGGGAGAGCAUCGCGUUUGCAACGCGAGGGUCGUCGGUUCAAGUCCGUCUGGCUCCA